rnacentral:rRNA from 1 species
AUUGAACGCUGGCGGCAGGCCUAACACAUGCAAGUCGAGCGGAUGAAGGGAGCUUGCUCCUGGAUUCAGCGGCGGACGGGUGAGUAAUGCCUAGGAAUCUGCCUGGUAGUGGGGGAUAACGUCCGGAAACGGGCGCUAAUACCGCAUACGUCCUGAGGGAGAAAGUGGGGGAUCUUCGGACCUCACGCUCUCAGAUGAGCCUAGGUCGGAUUAGCUAGUUGGUGGGGUAAAGGCCUACCAAGGCGACGAUCCGUAACUGGUCUGAGAGGAUGAUCAGUCACACUGGAACUGAGGCACGGUCCAGACUCCUACGGGAGGCAGCAGUGGGGAAUAUUGGACAAUGGGCGAAAGCCUGAUCCAGCCAUGCCGCGUGUGUGAAGAAGGUCUUCGGAUUGUAAAGCACUUUAAGUUGGGAGGAAGGGCAGUAAGUUAAUACCUUGCUGUUUUGACGUUACCAACAGAAUAAGCACCGGCUAACUUCGUG